rnacentral:rRNA from 1 species
UACGUAGGGUGCAAGCGUUGUCCGGAAUUAUUGGGCGUAAAGAGCUCGUAGGCGGUCUGUUACGUCGGCUGUGAAAACCUGGGGCUCAACCCCGGGCCUGCAGCCGAUACGGGCAGACUAGAAUUCGGUAGGGGAGACUGGAAUUCCUGGUGUAGCGGUGAAAUGCGCAGAUAUCAGGAGGAACACCGGUGGCGAAGGCGGGUCUCUGGACCGAUACUGACGCUGAGGCGCGAAAGCGUGGGGAGCAAACAGG